GGACCCAUAGCUCAACGGUUAGAGCAACCGGCUCAUAACCGGUCGGCUACAGGUUCGAGUCCUGUUGGGUCCACCA
rnacentral:tRNA from 3 species